GAUUUCUGGUUAAUUGUCCUAGCCCGCUCGCUUCGGUGGGUGAGUGCUGGUACAACUAGCCAUCCUUCCAGAGAGCCGUGAGUACCCUUCACUGGGCCGCUCGCGUUUGCGAUCUGGAUCUUUUACUUUGAAAAAAUUAGAGUGUUUAAAGCAGGCUUAUGCUGUGAAUACAUUAGCAUGGAAUAAUAAUUUAGGACUUCGGUUCUAUUUUGUUGGUUUCUAGGACUGAAGUAAUGAUUGAUAGGGACAGUUGGGGGUGCUAGUAUUCCGCGGCCAGAGGUGAAAUUCUUGGAUUCGCGGAAGACUAACUACUGCGAAAGCAUU
rnacentral:rRNA from 1 species